GACAGAGGGUGCAAACGUUGUUCGGAAUCACUGGGCGUAAAGCGUGUGUAGGCGGCUGCGCAAGUCGGAUGUGAAAGCCCCGGGCUCAACCCGGGAAGUGCACUCGAAACUGCGUAGCUUGAGUCUCGGAGAGGUUGGUGGAAUUCUCGGUGUAGAGGUGAAAUUCGUAGAUAUCGAGAGGAACACCGGUGGCGAAGGCGGCCAACUGGACGAAGACUGACGCUGAGACACGAAAGCGUGGGGAGCAAACAGG
rnacentral:rRNA from 1 species